rnacentral:rRNA from 1 species
UGAAACCGUGUGCUUACAAGUAGUCAGAGCCCGUUAAUGGGUGAUGGCGUGCCUUUUGUAGAAUGAACCGGCGAGUUACGAUUUGAUGCAAGGUUAAGCAGUAAAUGUGGAGCCGUAGCGAAAGCGAGUCUGAAUAGGGCGUUUAGUAUUUGGUCGUAGACCCGAAACCAGGUGAUCUACCCUUGGUCAGGUUGAAGUUCAGGUAACACUGAAUGGAGGACCGAACCGACUUACGUUGAAAAGUGAGCGGAUGAACUGAGGGUAGCGGAGAAAUUCCAAUCGAACCUGGAGAUAGCUGGUUCUCUCCGAAAUAGCUUUAGGGCUAGCCUCAAGUGAUGAUUAUUGGAGGUAGAGCACUGUUUGGACGAGGGGCCCCUCUCGGGUUACCGAAUUCAGACAAACUCCGAAUGCCAAUUAAUUUAACUUGGGAGUCAGAACAUGGGUGAUAAGGUCCGUGUUCGAAAGGGAAACAGCCCAGACCACCAGCUAAGGUCCCAAAAUAUAUGUUAAGUGGAAAAGGAUGUGGCGUUGCCCAGACAACUAGGAUGUUGGCUUAGAAGCAGCCAUCAUUUAAAGAGUGCGUAAUAGCUCACUAGUCGAGUGACACUGCGCCGAAAAUGUACCGGGGCUAAACAUAUUACCGAAGCUGUGGAUUGUCCUUUGGACAAUGGUAGGAGAGCGUUCUAAGG